GCUCUGACGGUGGAAGCCAAUUCUGGAUCCAAGACGGAGGAUUGAGGAAAUUCAGAAUUAAGGUUAAGAAAUGAGAGGGGAGGAAAAUAAGUUUUUUAGGGAGUUUUUUGAAGAAUCAGAGAGCUAGCUUCAUGCUUCGGGCGGAGAAAAAAGACAGAGAAUUGGGGUUUUUUAUUUUUCAUAGGGUUUUGGGAAGACUGAGGCAAUCGUUGCUGAAGUCAGUGUUGUAAUGGUGAAUCGAGAUUUUUAAUGAAGUGGAUUUGAUUACUCUUGAUUGUUUUAUGAAAUCAAGUUACGUCUGUGAUGAAGAGUUAAAAGGGUGUCUAUAGGAUUGAGUAUGUGGAGUGAAUG
rnacentral:lncRNA from 1 species